AACCAUCUCAGUUUUAUUUGGGGGUAGA
rnacentral:piRNA from 1 species